UCGGGGGGUCCUCUUCGUACACUGCGGACUACAAUAUUUGUGAUCUUUCUUCGCACCUGAGUGCUGCUGAAAGUCCAUUGGGGCUGCUCGUCUACUCGCGCAGAUGUGAACGCCACGGAGUUGUUCUGGAUUAACGUAAAUGAUCCUCGUUUGCUUGCGUAGCCCCUCGAAUGACCAUUGGGAUUACCGCAAGCAUGAUGAUUCAGGGAUUAUCGUCAUCUUGCGGAGUGCGCCUAAGCUGCAUUGAUGACGGUGGUCAGUGAAAGACUGUUCCGUCCGGGAAACCCGAAAUAGCGCCUGUUUUUCUGAGUGUAUAACUGUCACGUGAUCGACCAUUGGCGUACACUGUCACUGCCAUAGAAGUAAUCCCUGCUACGCGAAGUCAACCCGUGCAGUUCUGCAUCAGACCUAGGCAAUUCGCUUGCCCUGCAAGCCUGUUGCCCUCUUUUUUGUACGGGUGCUUCAACAGAAGAAGUCGUGAAAAGAUUGUGUUGAACUUCGCGUAGUGGAUCAGUUCAAUUUGCAGCAUUUUUUUGGUGACUAAAGCACGAUUGAAUAACACCAUGAGGCGGGUGAUCCUCGAGUCAGUUUUGCUGUGCCUCGUCGUCGGGCUUGAAGUGAAGGGGAAGAAGCACGUGACGGAGAUGGCCCCCACGGCGAGCAAUGCAUCUGUGUUCCUGCCCGGACCAGGGUGAGGACCAGAUGAACCCAGCACUUCCACCACUUGAAACGGGCUGUUGAAUAAGCAGGAGUUGACUCGGCGAAGGAGAGCUUUAUUUAGCGCAAGGGCUAAUUGAACGCAAGCCUGCGAUCACAGCAAGUCUUCUUCCUUUUCUAUACUCGAGCUCCAUGACCACUGCCCUUGUUACAUAUCAUACACCUAUCCUAAUUUGAAGCGACCAGGGGAUGCUGUGGAUAACUCGGACUGGAAGAGGCCAAGGGGGGCCCUCUAGGUAGG